GGCACAGAGCUCCUCAUUAGCCAAAGUCGCCCAAGUUCCCCAACCUUUAAGGAUUUCCUCAUAAUAAUGCAAGAAGAAGAAGAGAAAAGUGAGUGUCCAUAGAAGCUUUGGGGCUCUUCCUCUAAUCAGGAGAAAGCUGCAGAAGUUCAUCAGCUAACUUCUUGGGACCUAGCACCAUGUGAAGACGCUCAAGCUAGACUUUAAAAUGAGAGACCCAGAGGAGAGACAGAAGCUCCACUAAAUCCAAAGAACACCUAGACUGAUCAACAACAGAGGAAGCAAGGACAGCAAAGGGCGCUGCAGAGGCCAAGAGGGAAGGUUUUAGAAUGUUUCCCAAAGCAUGAAUGUUGGAAUGGUGGUCCCAUGAGAUGCUCCUCUAAAAAAAGAAGGAGGUGAAAGAAUUAUUUGGCCAAAUCUGCUUUGAAAUCCUCUCCCUUUUAGAUUCAUCCUAAUAUUGGCAUAGGAAUGCCUCUUUAAAGAACUACAAUAAAGAAGCCUGUUUAUCUUUGCUU
rnacentral:lncRNA from 10 species